GAGUGAACGCUGGCGGUAGGCCUAACACAUGCAAGUCGGACGGCAGCACAGUAAGAGCUUGCUCUUACGGGUGGCGAGUGGCGGACGGGUGAGGAAUACAUCGGAAUCUACUUUUUCGUGGGGGAUAACGUAGGGAAACUUACGCUAAUACCGCAUACGACCUACGGGUGAAAGCAGGGGAUCUUCGGACCUUGCGCGAUUGAAUGAGCCGAUGUCGGAUUAGCUAGUUGGCGGGGUAAAGGCCCACCAAGGCGACGAUCCGUAGCUGGUCUGAGAGGAUGAUCAGCCACACUGGAACUGAGACACGGUCCAGACUCCUACGGGAGGCAGCAGUGGGGAAUAUUGGACAAUGGGCGCAAGCCUGAUCCAGCCAUACCGCGUGGGUGAAGAAGGCCUUCGGGUUGUAAAGCCCUUUUGUUGGGAAAGAAAAGCAGCAGGUUAAUACCCCGCUGUUCUGACGGUACCCAAAGAAUAAGCACCGGCUAACUUCGUG
rnacentral:rRNA from 1 species